UGGAGACAUCUGCCCCCCACCCCCGCACGGCCUGUGGGUGGAGCUGUGACCCUGGAGCCUCAAUUUCGCCCCGGAAGUGCAGGUUGCUAAUCAGAGCCGGCCUGAGGAGCGCCUGGGCGUAGUCUGCAAAGAGCGUGGUGCUCGUGGGCACGGAGGGGAGGGGAGGCGAGAGCGCGUGCCUCAGUGAGCGGUGCUCCGAGGGAGACGGGCGGUCGGCCCUGAUUGGAGUCAGGAGAAGCCCGGCCUGGCUGGUGGAGCUGCAGGCACUGAUUUGUAAGUGGACGUGGCUGAGCUCGCGGACAGUUUGCCCGGCGAUCCGAGUCUCGCUGCAGUUUGCUAGGACGCCACGCACUCUGCUGUUAUUGCAGCUGCAGCCAGGUGAACCCAAUGGGCGCAGAUCCCAGAGCUUCCCAGAGUGAGGCCCGGAGCCGCCAGGGCUCGCAGCCUGUGUUCAACGGUGCAGCCUUUGCCUGUCUUCCCGGAACGCGUGCCGCCUGGGGUCCUCCGCUGUCUCAGGCAGUGAGAGGUGCAUGGGCUGCUCUUGGUCAGCAGCGAGAUGACCCAGGCCGACUGAUACUUCAAACACUGCAGGGAGGGCCAGGAUUUGAAGCCCGCCGCUGCCGCUGCUCCCGGAAGUGCACGGAGAAUACGCGUCCGGCCCGGGUCCCACAAGACUGCUAUCUGAGGCCCCUCUUCUCGUUUCCUGCAUCGCCCAGGUUGGAGUGGGGUGGGCACCCACUCUCAUGAUCAACGCUCUGCAGCCGCCUGGCUUUCUGUGAGACAGUGAUCCAGCUGCAGGAAUCAGAAGGUGCAGCUUCAGGAGCAAAGGGCUUGCUGGAAGCCAUCCUGGCCUGCCACGGAGAAGUCCUCCUUUGGAUCAUGAAGAUUCUCUCCGCUCUCACCUUGCUCCUCGCCCUGCUGAGCUCUGCUGGGGGCCAAGGCCAUCCGCCCCGCUGGCUCCACGCGGUCCCCCGGCUGGCGCUCUCCGCCGGUGACUUCGUGACGCAGCGUGAGGACCGUUCACGGUGUUUCCCGACAGCCGCUUCGCGGCAGUGCUUCCUCAACAGAAAAUGGACUCCAGCCUCGGCUGACGCGAGAACUCGGUGUGCUGUGCACACCGCGUGAGGACUGCGAUGCGUUUCAGGGCCAGGUCCAUCCACACUGAACUCGACCUCGCUGCGGCAUCUGGGCUGUGGGUCACUGGACUGAAAUUACAUUAAAGGGCCAAGUCUUUGCAAAUUUCAUUUUAGAAAAGAAAAAACGUGACAUUUUAAUAAAUGCAGCAAGGUGGCCCCAAAGCAGCGUGUAGGACUCCCUUGGUAUUAUUUCUCUCUCCUUUUAAAAUUACAGUUUAUAUUUAAAGAAAACAAUGCGCUCACCCUGCGAACUGGCUCCUGUAGGCC
rnacentral:lncRNA from 1 species